rnacentral:lncRNA from 1 species
CCAUGCCCGGCUAAUUUUUUUAUUUUUAGUAGAGACGGGGUUUCACCAUAUUGGUCAGGCUGGUCUUGAACUUUUGACCUCAUGGUCCACCCGCCUCGGCCUCCCAAAGUGCUGGGAUUACAGGUGUGAGCCACCAUGCCCAGGCUUAGAUCUAGUAUUUUUUAAAAAAUACAUUUAUGUACCAAUACAGUGAGGUUCUGGGGAUACAGCAAUUAACAAAAGACACAUUUCCAGAACACUGAGUUUAUUUUUCAGUGUGGACCAAUGCAUGUUUUCUUCAGUUCCAACCCUGAAGCACCCCUCUACCUUAGCCAGAUCAUGCCUCUUACAUGCCAUAAUUUCCUAAUCACAUCCCGUAGUUUUCCUAAUGUUGGGAAUAUGGCCAAAGCAAAUUACAUAAUGUUCACGAAGCAUUUGAAUACAUGGAAAGGAAGUGUUUUGCUAACAUGAGGUACAUUCAGUUAGUAAAACAAGCUUCUUUUACCUGGCAAAAGAUAGGGUUACAAAAAUAGUACUUGAGGUCGGGCGCAGUGGCUCACGCCUGUAAUCCCAGCACUUUGGGAGGCCGAGGCGGGUGGAUCACAUGAGGCCAGGAGUUCCAGACCAGGCUGGCCAGCAUGGUGAAAUCCUGUCUCUACUAAAAAUACAAAAAAUUUAGCCAGGCGUGGUGGCGGGUACCUGUAAUCCUAGCUAGUCGGCAGACUGAGCCAGGAAAAUUGCUUGAAUCUGGGAGGUGGAGGUUGCAGUGAGCCAAGAUCACGCCACUGCACUCCAGCCUGGGCGACAGAACGAGACUAUCCCCCCCACCAAAAAAAUACUACUUGUGGUUUCACCCACUCCAACAAUGAACUACAGCAAAAACUUAGUACUUUAUUCAAUCUUGAGAAAGUUUCUAAUUUGUGUCAAUACUUCUAAUAUUUCUCUAGCCUGUGGCUAGAAACUUUCACUGCAAUGUUAUUCCUCUCUUCUUCUUAUAUUUCUGUGUCUCCAAGUCCUAUCACUAUCUUCUUCUGAAUGUCUCUUGAAUUUGUCUGUUCUGUAUUUUUAUACCCACUCUCUUCUUCUUGGCAUCACCUAUGCACAACUGUGCCCUCCCUGAUGGAAGCCUCCCUGGUCCACAAGACAUUUAGCCACUACAUCAAUCUUUUUUGUAUCUGUAGAGGUAAGAUCUCACUCUCUGCCCAGUCUAGAGUGCAGGGGCACAAUCAUGGCUGACUGCAGCCUCAGACUCUUGGGCUCAAGUGAUCCUCCCACCUCGGCCUCCUGAGUAGCUGGGACUAUAGGCAUGCACCACUAUGCUCAGCUAAUUUUCCUAUUUUUAAAAAAUCUCUGUAGAAACAAGGUCUCACUAUGUUGCCCAGGCUGCUCCAAACACCUGGCCUCAAGUGAUCCUCCUGCCUCAGCCUCCCCAAGUGCUGAGAUUACAGGACUAAGCCACUGUGCCUGGCCCAGAUCAAUCUUUUGAAUGCCAUUUUCAUGUUCUUAUGCAAAAACAUCAACAACAACAAACAACAACAACAAAAAUCUCUAAUGACUCUGUAUUUUACUGUGAAUCCUGAGUUUCUCCCUGGGUAUUAAGAUUUCCCAUUCCCUAACAACACAUUUAUUCCCCAUUAUUCCUCAUGGUAUAGCUUGGAUUAGCCCCUUUUACCCACCCCAGCUACCUCCCAGAGUUUAUUCUUGCUUCUUAACCCAUCAGACAAUCCCUCUCUCCUUGCUGGGCCCUAACCUACAUUCAGGGUCCAGGCCAGGCAUUUUGUCAGUGAAGCCUCACUCAAGCCAGUGUUUCCCAAACGUCAGUCUGUGAUGACAUUUUCACUAGUGCCAAAACCAAAAAAAUAAGGACAAUGUAAGCGGGGUUUUCAUAAAACGAAACUAAUUUUAAGUGGCUGUUCUUUGUUGUGAUGUUAUGUCUUUCCUGCUUUUUUCAUGUUAAAAUGUUCUUUCUUUAAUGAAAGAGGUAACAAAAAACGGUGACAGAGCAGUGACUUAGCAAAAUAAAAACUGGGCAAUAUUAUACUGAUCCCCACAUGUACAUAAAUGUUUCGACUGCUCUGGGAAUUACAACUCUAACCAUCAGUGAUCAGCUCCCUCUUUUUAAUCCUAUUUAAGAAUCAUAUAGUUUAGUAUUCAAUUACUUCCCAUACAGGUGGCUUUGUUCCCCAGCUAAGUUAGGCCCCUCUGAGGGAGGAACCAUCCAUCCAUCCAUUCAUUCAUUCAUUUUCUGGGCCAGCGUUUCGCUCUGUCACCCAGGCUAGAAUGCAGUGGCACGAACACAGCUCACUGCAGUCUCGAACUCCUGGGCUCCAGUGAUGCUCCCACCACAGCCUCCUGAGUACCUGGGACUACAGGGCAUGCACCACCACCCCUGACUAAUUUUUCAAUUUCUUGUAGGGACAAGGUCUUACUAUGUUGCCCAGGCUGGUAUCAAACUGAGCUUAAGCAAUCCUCCCGCCUCAGCCUCCCCAAGUGCUGUGCCACUUCCAAGGCCACUGUACCAGAGCCACUGAUCUGUCAAUUCUGAUACAAAUUUAGGAUAUCUUCAAAUUUGCAUUGAAGGAAAAAAAGUCACAUUUCAGUUAUAUCAACAGAUUCAAAUGCCAAAAAUGUUAAGCCCAUACAGGAGAACUGAACUCCAUUCCAUUAUCUGCAACUGAAACAAACACUUCUUUCCAAUCUUGCUCAGUAAGUUUAUGCAUACACAAGACUCACACAUGUUUCCACUAUUCAGACACCAUUAAAUGAUCAAAUGAUUUCUUCCUGCGGGGAAAACUGUCUAAGUUAACAAAACACACUUUAGCACCCACCGGCCAUGCCUAUUGGCUUUGGAGGUGGGAACAGAUCUCUGGUAAAGUGACAGUCCUGAGGUAAGUUUUCAAAACACCUGUUUGCUUAAAAUAUGGAUGUUACAGUUCAUCUUCUACAAUUGCACUAAAUUAAAAAUAAAUGACAAAAUCAUGUGAACUAUUUGCCAUCAGAAGUGUGACAGAAUUCAGAUCAUACCCCAAACGUGGCAGGGUUAGGCAGAGCUGUUGUGGCAAAAACUGUCUCUUCUGUGAGACACAACUGAGCCCCAAGGACGAGGUGGGGAUGUGCCACCUGCUGCCUGUCCCCACGGGUUCCCUGCCAGCACCAAACAUUAAUACUAUCUGUGUGAUCCUUUCUAGUCCAGAAAGCUCUUCUAGAAACACUAUUCUCUUCUUAUUCUCAUAGGAUGAGGGACAUGGACACACAGACAGAUGGAUUUUUUUCCUAAUUCAUGGGUGAAGGCAUCUCUGCUGCACCCCCAUCCCACUCUACAUUAAUGCGGCAUCAUCAUAGCUCUUUGCAGAGCCUGAAAUUAAACCCUUUCUUUAUUUGCAUUCUUCUUAAUGCCUAGCUCCACUGAAGCAAGUACUGUGUCUUUUAUUCUUAACCACUGUCUCCCCAGAGGCUGAAACAGUGCCUGGCACAUGCAGUUGACUUUAAACAUAUUUGUUAAAUGGUAUUAGGUAAUGACUUUUUUUUUUUUAACUGUGUAGUUAACCCACUAGAAUGUAAGCAUCAAGAAGGCAGACGCUGCCUUCUCAACCAUUACAUUCCUAGCACGGAAGCACAGGGCCUGGCAGAAAUUAGCGCUUGAUCAAUGUUUGUUGAAAUCAAUGGAUAACUGCCUGCUUGAAUGAAUGUAUGAAAACAACUGUUUUGCAAGCGCCACAAUGUGAUGUGUCUGACUCCUAUGCCAUGUUCACAAGGAGUCGAGAGCCUGGAAGCUUUGCACACUACUGCCUGGAAGAUCUGAUUCUUUGGAAAUAAAAUAUAUAUAUAUAUUCUGCAGGUUCAAAGCAGAAGUAUUAUUAUAAUGAGGGAGAAAUAAAGUAAUAAAGUACAUGUCAAAAAACAAGUACUAAAGUCCAGAGGGCAUUUGGAACUUUUUUUUUUUUUUUUGAGAUGGAGUCUUGCUCUGUUGCCCAGGCUGGAGUGCAGUGGCACGAUCUCAGCUCGUUGCAAACUCCACCUCCCAGGUUCAAGCGAUCCUCCUGCCUCAGCCCCCCUAGUAGCUGGGAUUACAGGCAUGUGCCACCAUGCCCGGCUAAUUUUUGUAUUUUUAGUAGAGACGAGGUUUCGCCAUGUUGGCCAGGCUGGUCUCGAACUCCUGACCUCAGGUGAUCCACCUGCCUUGGCCUCCCAAAGUGCUGGGAUUACAGGCAUGAGCCACCACACCUGGCCUGAUCGCAUUUUUUAAUUUUAGCCAUCUAGUGAGUCUACGGGGUAUCUCACCACGGUUUUGAUUGGCAUGUCUCUGAGACUUUGAUGCUGAGCAUCUUUUCAUGGGCUUAUUGGCCAUGUUGGUAGCCUUCUUUGGAGAAAUGUCUGUUCAGAUCCUUUACCCAUGUAUUAAACUGAGUUAUUUGUUUUUCAUUGUGGAGUUGUAAGGGUUCUUUAUAUAUUUUAGAGACAAGACCCUUUUCAAACAUAAUUUGCAAACAUUUUCUCCCAUGCUGUGAGUUUUCUUUUUCUUCAAGAGUCCUUUGAAGCACAGAAGCUUUGAAUUUUGAUGAAAUCCAAUUAAUCUGUUUUCCUUUUGUUGCCUGUGCUUUGUUUGUCAUAUCUAAGAUUCCAUGUCUAGACCAAAGUAUUGAAGAUUUAUUCCUGUUUUCUCCUAGGAGUUCUUGAGGUAGGAGCUCAAUUUCAUUCUUUUACAUGUGUAUAUCCACUUGUUCCAGGACCAUUUGUUGAAAAGACUAUUAUUUCCCCUGUCAAAUUAUCUUGUCAUCACUGUUGAAAAUCAACUGACCAUAAAUAUGAGGACUUAUUUCUGGAUUCCGAAGUCUAUUCUAUUGACCUCUAUAUCUACGCUACUGUCAGUACCAUUCUGUCGUAAUUACUUUAGCUUUGUAGUAAGUUUUGAAAUUGAGAAGUGCUAGUCUCCAACUUUGUUGUUGUUUUUUCAGGACUGUUUGAGCUAUUCUAGAUCUCUUGCAUUUCCAGAUAAAUUUUAAUCAGCUUGUCAAAUUCUGCAAAACAAAAAACAACAAGAAAACACCUUCUGGGAUGUUAAUAGGUACAGUGCUGCAUCUGCAGAUCUGGUUAGGGAGGACUCCCAUCUUGACAAGAGCAAGUCCUUCAAUCCAUGAACAUGGCUGUCUUUCCAUUUAGUUAGGUCCUCUUUCAUUUCUUUCCACGAUAUUUUAGAGUUUUUAGUGUACAGGUCUUAUACUUCUUUCAUUGAAUUUACUCCUAUUAAUGCUUUUUUAUACUAUUUUAAAAUAGAUUUUUAAAAUUUUUUUAUUUUCAGUAGAUUAGGGUUUGCAUAGGAUGGUGGGGCGGGGACAGGAAAUAAGGGGACC